rnacentral:rRNA from 1 species
UCCCGUUGAUCCUGCGGGAGAUCACUGCUCGAGGGAUUCGUUAAUCAUGCAAGUCUAAGCUUCGGCUUGGCGGAAGGCUCAGUAACACGUCAGUAAUCUGUCCUUAGGUAUGGCAUAACUUCGGGAAACUGAAGGUAAUUCCAUAUAGGCGAUGCAUACUGGAAUGUAGCAUCGUUUAAAGCUUCGGCGCCUAAGGGUGAGCUGGCGGCAGAUUAGCUUGUAGGUGGUGUAAAGGACCACCUAGGCUAUGAUCUGUAAGGGGGGUGAGAGCCCGAGCCCUGAGAAGGACACUGAGACAAGGGUCCUAGCCCUACGGGGUGCAGCAGAUACGAAUCCUCUACAAUGCGCGAAAGCGUGAUAGGGGAAUCCCUCGUGCUGGCGUUAUACGUCAGCUUUUUUAGAGCGUAUUAACUCUGAGAAUAAGGGGUGGGCAAGACCGGUGCCAGCCGCCGCGGUAAUCCCGGCGCCCCAAGUGGUGAUCAGUUUUAUUGGGUCUAAAGCGUCCGUAGCUGGUUAGCUAAGUUUUUAGUGAAAUCUAAUGGCUCAACCAUUAGGCUUGCUAGAAAUACUGGCUGACUUGAGAUCGGGAGGAGCUAGAGGAAUGCCUUGGGGUGCGGUAAAAUGCUGUAAUCCAAGGUGGACCAUCGGUAGCGAAGGCGUCUAGCUAGAACGAGUCUGACAGUCAGGGACGAAAGCCAGGGGAGCAAAACGGAUUAGAUACCCGUGUAGUCCUGGCCGUAAACGCUGCUUGUUUGGCGUUGCGCGUUUUUCGAAAGCGUGCAGUGCCGAAGCGAAGGUAUUAAACAAGCCACCUGGGAAGUACGGUCGCAAGGCUGAAACUUAAAGGAAUAGGCGGGGGAGUACUACAAGAGGUGCUUGCUGCGGUUUAAUUGGAUUCCACGCCUGAAACCUUACCAGCAGCGACAGCAGGAUGAAGGUCGGCCUAAAUGGCCCACUCGACACGCUGAGCGGUGUUACAUAGCCGCCGUCAGCUCGUGCCGUGAGGUGUUCGGUUAAGUCCGAGAACGAGCAAGACCUACGUCUCUAGUUGCUAGCGGUUUUUUUGGAAAUCGCGCACACUGGAGAGACCGCCUGGGUAACCAGGAGGAAGGUGUAGGCUACGGUAGGUCGGUAUGGCCCUAAUCUGCUGGGCUACACGCGGCAGGCAAUGGUUAGAACAACGGGAUGCAACUCCGAGAGGAGAAGCCAAUCCCUUAAAUCUAAUCCUGUCUGAAUCGAGAGCUGCAACUCGCUCUCGUGAAAGCGAAAUCUCUAGUAAACGUGCGUUAGCAUCGUGCGUUGAAUACGUCCCUGUUCCUUGCACUCACUGCCUGUCAACUCAUCCAAAUGAGGUUUGAAUGAGGC